rnacentral:rRNA from 1 species
UAAGGAAUAUUGGUCAAUGGACGCAGGUCUGAACCAGCCAUGCCGCGUGAAGGAUGAAGGUCCUCUGGAUUGUAAACUUCUUUUAUAGGGGAAGAAAUCUCUUGAUUCUUCGAGAGUUGACGGUACCCUAGGAAUAAGCACCGGCUAACUCCGUGCCAGCAGCCGCGGUAAUACGGAGGGUGCAAGCGUUAUCCGGAUUCACUGGGUUUAAAGGGUGCGUAGGAGGGCAGGGUAAGUCAGUGGUGAAAUCCCCGAGCUUAACUUGGGAACUGCCGUUGAUACUAUCUGUCUUGAAUAUUGUGGAGGUGAGCGGAAUAUGUCAUGUAGCGGUGAAAUGCUUAGAUAUGACAUAGAACACCAAUUGCGAAGGCAGCUCGCUACACAUAUAUUGACUCUGAGGCACGAAAGCGUGGGGAUCAAACAGGAUUAGAUACCCUGGUAGUCCACGCCCUAAACGAUGGAUACUCGACAUACGCGAUACACUGUGUGUGU